UACGGGGGGGGCAAGCGUUGUUCGGAAUUACUGGGCGUAAAGGGUUUGUAGGUGGCCGAUUAAGUCAUACGUGAAAUCCCUCAGCUUAACUGGGGAACUGCGUCUGAUACUGGUUGGCUUGAGUGCAGGAGAGGAACGCGGAAUUCCAGGUGUAGCGGUGAAAUGCGUAGAGAUGUGGAGGAACACCAGUGGCGAAGGCGACUCUUUGGCCUGUAACUGACGCUGAGGCGCGAAAGCGUGGGGAGCAAACAGG
rnacentral:rRNA from 1 species